CGUCUCCCUCCGCUAUUGAAGCAGUAAGGUUCGCAUCUGGUAAGGCCUUGGAUUCAUUCAAGGAGUGCCGUAGGCUUAUGUGCAUCGGGAUUGGGGAGGUAAGUUCCAUUAGGAGGGAGUGUAGUUGCUGUUAGUGUUUUCUUUUUAAAUCGUAUUUGUCUUUUGGGUGUGAUUCCGGGUCGGGUCGGUCUUCGGCGACCCUGCCGAAUGCCUCAAUAAAAAAAAAACUGUGUUUUCCAAAGAAUAUGAUUGUUGGAGCAAUAGUAGAUGAGCUUACAAAGAGGAGGGAGGGGGUUUACCGACGUGGUGGCUUUUGGGGUUUUCCAUUUCUGUGUUUGUGUCCUUUGAAUGGGUUCAUCGAGUGGAUGUAGUCAGGUAUUGAACGGUUCCUGGCGUGGCGGGUGCAGUACUGGGCAGACGAAGUUGGUGGGAUAAAUACUCAGUGCCACUAAGUGCGUUGCAUUUAAAGCAAUAGAGAGGAUGGGGUCCUGUAGCGGUGUUGUAGAGGGAACGUGCCAGUGGAAUGUGAGGAGCAGGGAUGAUUGGGUUCAACGCAGCGGUGUAGGUUUAGAUGAGCAGGUUUAACAUUAAAUUUUGACGUGUUUGUAACAUUUGGUGAAUGUGGUUAGUCUUUUCAGGUGUUGUAAACCAUACGA